rnacentral:tRNA from 1 species
GGGCCGCUAGCUCAACGGGUAGAGCACCGGACUUUUAAUCCGUAGGUUCAGGGUUCGAGUCCCUGGCGGCCCACCA